GGACAUGAAGCACACAGCUCCCGGAAGGUCACCCAUCCCAGAAUUUCUCCAGGCUAAGCACGCUUAACCAUGGAGUUCUUAUGGGUUAGGCUUCCGAAAAGUAAAUGCAUUUUGGUGAUAUGGGUAGCCAAAUCAAUUCCUUUAAGAUAUCCUUCAACUGUAUAGUCCCAUACCUAUACAGUCUCCAGAUCCCUCUCAUUCCNAACUGUAUAGUCCCAUACCUAUACAGUCUCCAGAUCCCUCUCAUUCCGGUGUAUGAUCGAUUCGUCCAUGUGCCCCUUCCACUCGAAGCCUGCCAGGAGCCGCUCCUUAUCUGUGCCCCCUGCACCAUGCCUCUUGCACCGGCGAUCACUCCC
rnacentral:lncRNA from 1 species